GACCAACGCUGGCGGUACGCUUAACACAUGCAAGUCGAACGGGUAGUAAUACCAGUGGCAAACGGGUGAGUAAUGCAUAGGAAUCUGCCCUUUAGUGGGGGAUAGCUCGGAGAAAUUCGAAUUAAUCCCGCAUAAUGUCGAGAGAUGAAGGCAGCAAUGCGCUAAGGGAUGAGCCUGUGUCCGAUUAGCUAGUUGGUGGGGUAAAGGCCUACCAAGGCAACGAUCGGUAGCUGGUCUGAGAGGAUGAUCAGCCACAGUGGAACUGAGACACGGUCCACACUCCUACGGGAGGCAUCAGUGAGGAAUUUUCCGCAAUGGGCGAAAGCCUGACGGAGCGAUACCGCGUGUAGGAAGAAGGCCUUCGGGUUGUAAACUACUGUCGAUGGGGAAGAAAAAAAUGACGGUACCCAUAAAGGAAGCACCGGCUAACUCUGUGCCAGCCGCCGCCGUAA
rnacentral:rRNA from 1 species